rfam:Myotis lucifugus cont2.5598, whole genome shotgun sequence.
ACAGCAUAUAUUAUAAACAGCAUCAUUCCUUGAAGUACACUUUUCAUAAGACAUCUUCAUUAAGAAGGUAAGAC